UACGUAGGGUCCGAGCGUUGUCCGGAAUUAUUGGGCGUAAAGGGCUCGUAGGCGGUCUGUUGCGUCGGGAGUGAAAACUUACAGCUUAACUGUGAGCGUGCUUUCGAUACGGGCAGACUUGAGGCAUUCAGGGGAGAACGGAAUUCCUGGUGUAGCGGUGAAAUGCGCAGAUAUCUGGAGGAACACCGGUGGCGAAGGCGGCAUCCUGGACCAACACUGACGCUGAGGAGCGAAAGCCAGGGGAGCAAACGGG
rnacentral:rRNA from 1 species